UAUUGAAAAGACUGAUUGAUUGUGUCCUGUUUUUGGGUAAACAGGAACUUUCAUUUAGGGGACAUGAUGAAAGCGCCGAGUCCAGAAACAGAGGAAACUACGUGGAGCUUCUUUCUUUGCUUGCUGAGAACAACACAGACUUGCAUUACCACCUGUCCACAAACAAUAAUUCAGGUAGGACUGUGUCGGACAUCACUGAAGGCCUAGGUGUGAAAUGCACGGCCCGCCACUGCUGAUUGGUUAACAAUGGCUGGUACAGAGCACAGCACUUCUGAUUGGUGUGGAUGACUGACACACCAGAAGAAAGAAAAAAAAAUUCCAAAAAAAAGAAAAUGUUAAAAAAAAAUCGCAGGCUUUGCGAUUUCAUAAUCGCAUCAUUUUAUAAUCGCAUCAUUUUAUAAUCGCAUCAUUUUAUAAUCGCAUCAUUUAAAAUCGCGAUUUUGAUUUAAAAUCGAUUAAUCGCUCAGCCCUAUUAUGGGAUGUAGAAACCUUUUCUACUCUUUGGAGUACGCUUUUUUUGACGUGUCUUUGCUUUACACCAACUUCUUUAUUUGACCAUACCUAGAAGCUUUUGUUAUCAUGUCUUUAGGCUGUGUUUGCCGUCCAGGAACUACAAAUGUAAUUUAGCUCACUCUGGAACAUUAUGUUCAGAGCACUGGAACCUCAACAUGUGGUGGAACAUUAUGUUCAGCGAUGAGUCCAGAUUCUGCCUACGGCACAUGGAUCGUAGGGUCACAGUGGAGAAGACGCAGAGAAUGCUUUACUGAUUGCUGCACCGAUAGAGUAGUGGAGAGGAUGGAAUGGCCUGCCUGCAGUCCUGACCUCAACCCCAUUGAACCCCAUUUUGGGAUCAACUUGUUCCUGCUGUCCGUGCCGGAGUGACCGACACAACCACGUUGGCUGACUUGGGACAAAUGCUGGUUGAAGAAUGGGAGGCCAUCCCACAGCAGAGUGUGAGCAGGCUGGUGACAGCAUGAGGAGGAGAGGCUGUCGUGGCUGUGUUUGGUUCUUACACACACUACUGAGGCUGCUUGUUAAAUGAAUCACUUGUUAGUAAAUCAAUUAUUGCCAAUAUGUCUUUAUUUAUCAGACUUCAAUCAUCCAAUCCAAACAACACCAAACUAGAGUCAGCAAAAAAAGCUGUUUUGCAUUGGCAGAGGAGAUUUGUCAUAUUGUUCAUGGCUACAUACUCAGCUCUGCUGCUCAUCCCACAAAUGCUUGUUCCUCACAAAUGUGGUACCAUUGGAAAGAAUAUUCAGGAUGUUGUCUUUCUUUUGGAGUGCCAGACCAGGGUGCAGUAACUGUCGAACAGGGGAAACAGGAGUUUAAUUAGCGCCAUGACUCCGGGUUUCAGGACGGCUUUUUGUUCCCUGUGCAGGCAGAAUGCAGGCUGUGGGCUAAGGAACAAUACUGUACUCAGAGCGCAGGUAGGAAACUGCACGUAGCAAUCCUUACAUCAUAUUAUGCAAGGGAACUCCUAGAUACCAGUUUCCAAGCAGGUAGGCCUGUCACCGCUCUACAGGCUGCAAUACACAACCAUUUACUGUAGAGCCUUUUCUUAUCAAGCUCCACAUUUGUGGAAUCAGCUUCCAGUUUGUGUUCGGGCGGCAGACACCCUAUCCGUUUUUAAGAGUGCGCUUAAGACCUUCCUUUUUGAUAAAGCUUAUAGUUAGGGCUGAUUAGAUUCAGCCCCUAGUUUUGCUGAUAUAGGCUUAGU